ACAACCUCGGAACACAAGAUAACUCAAGGAUAGCCAAGGAUUGCCAAGCAAAGACAACCACGGAACACAAGAUAACUCCCAAGGCAACAAAGAACAAAAGGGCAACCAAGGACAAAAAGGCAACAAAGGAAACAAAAGGCAACAAGGGAA